AUACGUAGGGUGCAAGCGUUAAUCGGAAUUACUGGGCGUAAAGCGUGCGCAGGCGGUUUUGUAAGACAGAGGUGAAAUCCCCGGGCGCAACCUGGGAACUGCCUUUGUGACUGCAAGGCUAGAGUACGGCAGAGGGGGAUGGAAUUCCGCGUGUAGCAGUGAAAUGCGUAGAUAUGCGGAGGAACACCGGUGGCGAAGGCAAUCCCCUGGGCCUGCACUGACGCUCAUGCACGAAAGCGUGGGGAGCAAACAGGAUUAGAUACCCUGGUAGUCCACGCCCUAAACGAUGUCAACUGGUUGUUGGGGAUUUAUUUUCUCAGUAACGAAGCUAACGCGUGAAGUUGACCGCCUGGGGAGUACGGCCGCAAGGUUAAAACUCAAAGGAAUUGACGGGG
rnacentral:rRNA from 1 species